UAGGGAAUCUUCCGCAAUGGGCGAAAGCCUGACGGAGCAACGCCGCGUGAGUGAUGAAGGUCUUCGGAUCGUAAAACUCUGUUAUUAGGGAAGAACAAAUGUGUAAGUAACUAUGCACGUCUUGACGGUACCUAAUCAGAAAGCCACGGCUAACUACGUGCCAGCAGCCGCGGUAAUACGUAGGUGGCAAGCGUUAUCCGGAAUUAUUGGGCGUAAAGCGCGCGUAGGCGGUUUUUUAAGUCUGAUGUGAAAGCCCACGGCUCAACCGUGGAAGGUCAUUGGAAACUGGAAAACUUGAGUGCAGAAGAGGAAAGUGGAAUUCCAUGUGUGUCGGUGAAAUGCGCAGAGAUAUGGAGGAACACCAGUGGCGAAGGCGACUUUCUGGUCUGUAACUGACGCUUAUGUGCGAAAGCGUGGGGAUCAAACAGG
rnacentral:rRNA from 1 species